rnacentral:rRNA from 1 species
GGAUCAAUUAAUUGGUCGUGCCUCUGGUACGUACUGAUUUUAUUGGUUUCUCCCUUCUGACGAAUCAUGAUGUCAUUAAUUUGGUGUCGUGGAGAAUCAGGACUGUUACUUUGAAAAAAUUAGAGUGUUUAAAGCAGGCAUUAGCCUGAAUACAUUAGCAUGGAAUAAUGAAAUAGGACGUUUGAUCCUAUUUUGUUGGUUUCUAGGAUUGACGUA